rnacentral:rRNA from 1 species
CCAGACUCCUACGGGAGGCAGCAGUGGGGAAUAUUGCACAAUGGGCGCAAGCCUGAUGCAGCCAUGCCGCGUGUAUGAAGAAGGCCUUCGGGUUGUAAAGUACUUUCAGUCGGGAGGAAGGUGUCAAGGUUAAUAACCUUGGCAAUUGACGUUACCGACAGAAGAAGCACCGGCUAACUCCGUGCCAGCAGCCGCGGUAAUACGGAGGGUGCAAGCGUUAAUCGGAAUUACUGGGCGUAAAGCGCACGCAGGCGGUCUGUCAAGUCGGAUGUGAAAUCCCCGGGCUCAACCUGGGAACUGCAUUCGAAACUGGCAGGCUGGAGUCUUGUAGAGGGGGGUAGAAUUCCAGGUGUAGCGGUGAAAUGCGUAGAGAUCUGGAGGAAUACCGGUGGCGAAGGCGGCCCCCUGGACAAAGACUGACGCUCAGGUGCGAAAGCGUGGGGAGCAAACAGGAUUAGAUACCCUUGUAUAG